GAUGAAGAACGUAGCGAAAUGCGAUAAGUAAUGUGAAUUGCAGAAUUCAGUGAAUCAUCGAAUCUUUGAACGCACCUUGCACUCCUUGGUAUUCCGAGGAGUAUGCCUGUUCGAGUAUCAUGAAACUCUCAAACCUCAUCUUCAUUGAUGACGGGCUUGGAUUUGGACGCUUGCUGGACCUUACCGUUCGGCUCGUCUUGAAUGCAUUAGCUGACGAUUUCGACUUCAGUUAAACCGUGUGAUAAUACAUCAACGCGGGCAGCCGUCAAGGCGCUGAGUCGUUAGACGAAGGCUUCUAACCGUCCCUUCGAGGACCGCCUUAACUGGUGUUUCAUUUCAAAUUUGGUCUCGAAUCAGGUAGGACUACCCGCUGAACUUAAGCAUAUCAAUAAGCGGAGGA
rnacentral:misc_RNA from 1 species